CCAAUCUUGUAACACUGCAACCUAUCAAGGGUACGGCCUUACUCAGAACCCUGUGGAUCUGACUCCCACAGGGGGUGAAGUUGUUGCCCAGACACGCUUUUGCCCGGUGUAUUUUUCCAACUUCCCUUAGUCCUGCUCCGUGUGUAUCCACUGGCGUUAUUUGACAUUCCACAGUUACUGAUAAGAGUAUGUCAUAGAUGUGUGCGGCGCCCAGAAGACGCGUAGUGCGAAACAUGUCGGCGACCAGCCCUCUACUCAUCUAAUUAUUGUCACAUCUUAUCUGCAACAGGGCAAUCAAUGAUUUCUGUCAUUGUAUUUUUUAUUCAUUUUGUUUUCGUGUAUUUAUAUUAAAUUUUGAUACUUUUCUA